GCUGUACUUUCUGCUGAGCUUAACUGAAUAAGGCAUGUGGCUGAUACACGGACACUUGUACCUUGGGCCUACCUGCAGAGAAUUUUAGAAAUCAGAAUGGAACAAAUCUUAAGAGUUCGGAGCAGCCUCAGGGGUGCUGGGCUCAGGAGCCUCCAUGGUGGACGUGGCAGCCCCGAACAGGUCCCGGUGUCCGCGAAUGCCUGGCAGCGCUCUGGCCCCCGGUCCCCCAUGAGUUCAUCACUGCUGCGCUCUUCUUCGUCCCAGGCACUUAGCCCAGAUCAUGAGAACAGCAUCAUUAAGAAACAGAGACAAGAACUCCAGCUUUUAAUUGCAGAACUGAAAGAGCGUGACAGGGAGCUCAAUGACAUGGUUGCUGUGCAUCAGAGACACAUCCAGGCCUGGGAAGGUGAUCGCCACAAAAUACUGACUUUAGCAGAACGAUGCAGCUUGUUGACCAGUGAGCUGAACAACAAAAAUGCAAUUAUAAAAUCACUGACCAAAAGGUUAAAGUUCGUAGAAUCUCAGCAGAAUGACAGUCAGGCAACACUUGAAAAUACACAACAGAAGUUUAAAGAGCUGACUCAAAAAGUAACAGAUUCAUCUGUUCACUGCCAGGCUCUGGAGGAGAAAAAUCAGGAUCUCCACUGCUCAGUUUUGGAGCUGUCAGUUAAAACAGGCCAACUACAAGCAAGAGAACAGGAGCUCCUCACUAUGCUUAGGCUGAAGGACAAUGCUUUAAUUGAAACAACUGAUCACAUUAAUGAGUUUACGUGCAAAUUAAAAAAGCUGGAGAGUGCAUUGCGUGCAGUGAAGUCAGAGGAUUUCUGUCUCAACAGAGAACAGAAAGAGCUCAGACUGACACUCAAGGAGCUAAUGCUUCAAACAAAUAAGCUGAAAGAUGUCCUCUCUGAAAAGAUGGAGGAGAACAGCAAGCAGCACGAAGAAAUCCUUCACCUGAAACAUGAAAAUGGCUGCUUGAAGAGUGAGCUGGCACUGGCAGUGGAGAAAGCCGAGAGGAAAGAUGAACUUUAUCUGUUUGCCAAGUCUAAACAAGCGCGGAUUGAAAAGGAGUUAUCCAGUUUGCGACAGAUCAUUUCAAAACAGAGUGACUUACAAUUCCCUUAUGGCAACUCAGAGAACCCUCAGGCCUCAAGGCAAAAGCAUGAAAAGAUGGCAAGCAGAAGGAGUGAAGAAAACACGGGUGUGAGUUUCUACCACUUGGAUUCUCCCCGUUUGACAACCGCCCAGGAGAGCAACACAUCUCAGAGAUCUGUGGAAUUCACUGGUGAAGACUCCCCUCUGCACAUCAGUGACCUGGCAGUGACUAAGCCAACAAACAGAUGCUGCAGUGCUGCCGUGGACACAGACACCAGUUCCAUGCUGAUGAAGCUGCAUCGUGCUGUGGCUGAGUCUGGACAGAUGAUUGCUCGUCUGAACCUCAGCCUUCUCCCCCAGAGCCCUCACUUUAUUCCAAAGAGCAGCCACAUGGAUAUAGUAUAGAUUGUUCUCCCAUAGGUUGAGGUGCUCAGGAAUACUGAUUGGGAACAUCCUAUCCCUUAUGCUUGACUUGCACUCCAUUAGCAAAGCACGAGGGGGAUAUUGUUUAUAAGACAGAGACAAUUCCUGCCUGCCUUAGCUGCAAGUACUUGAAUUUUUUAUAGGAUUCUUUUAGAGGAUCCUCAAGGUCAUGACAGGAUUUGACUUUUGCAUGUGUCUAAACAGAUGGAAGGAAGAAGUCAUUUUGGGGCAAGCUGUAGGAGGCCUAGAAAAAAAUGAACACUGGUUCUUUCUCACUUGAAGCACUUGAGAUGAUUUCUCAGGCUCAGUGCACACUCACCACUCUGCUGCCCCAGAGGCUUAGAGUCAGAACUGCUUAUUAUUCUGUUCAUGGAAAGGAGGGCAGUAUAGGGAAUAGGUGAUAUAUAGGAUCGUUUUGGGUAUGAAUUUAAACCAGACACGCAGCUUUAAUAAAUUUAGGGGGUUUGUGGGUUAAUUUUAGUUCCUUCGUUGCAGGGUCAGAGCAUAUACUCAGUGGUCAAAAAAAAAAAACCCUAUAUGUGGCUGUCUGGCAGCUUAUUUUAUGAGCAUGAGCACUGAUAGGGAGUUCUUGUUGGGUAUGUGGAUAGAAGGAAUAAUUGGAGAAGGAGUCACUUUCUUGUUUUCAUAAAUAUCCAUAAGAAUUUCUACCCUGUUUGACAAGGAGGUUGUACCAUUUGUCUCUAGAAAUGAGUCCACUUGUGCUGAUAUACAUCCCAAAGGGAGGAUUUAGGCUCUUGGAUUUAGAGCAGGCUGCUUUUUCCUCACACAUCACCUCCCUCUGAAAAUGCUGGACUCCUUUUAGCCUCAGAUGAACUUGACCAGAACAACGUUUCUGUAGGGUUUUUGCAUUACAAUAUAGACAACAGAACUUGCAGAAACUCUGCACAAAAGCCAGUUAUCUGCUGCAGAAGAAAGAGAUGCUAAGCUUCCUUCUUAACUCUAUGAUGUUCCAUGAGCAUGAAGGUGUUUUCAACUUGAUCUUUGUUUGCUUCUCUUUUUAUAAAUGCAUCUGCAAUAUUAAUACGCAUUAUGGAUUUCUGAGAUGAGCCUGGCACAGGAUUCUAAGUGCAUUUCCAGUAAAACUCUUGUGAGUACUGUAACAGCAAAUAGAUAUUAAGGCAGCAAAUAAUUCCUUUAGUCAAAUAAUUAAACUUUCCUCAAGCGUGUUCCUCAUCCUCUGGGCAGUCAGAUCUCGCAGCUCCAUUCCCCAGUACCUGCAGGCUGCUUAUUGUAGUUAAAGCCCUUCUGUGUGUUACAGAUAACAGGAUCAAGGAUGUGAACAUUGUUGAAUGAGAGAUUGGGAAGUGUUUUCCAGGGCCAAGGCCAAGGGCUGUUUUAGAAUAUUGUUCUAGGGCUCACAGCCCCAAAAGUAGAAUGUAUUGAAUAGAGCUGUUUCAGAAUAUCCCAAGCAGCCUUGCCCACAGCAGAUUGUUUUUUCUUUUGGAAUCAGGAAAUUUCUCACUCUCUGAUUAUUUGUUCCCCUGAUGUGGAUUGGAUGCUUGCAAUAGGCACCACAUUGUCUGGUUCUGAGGACAAAAGAGUAACCAGAUAUGGUUAAGAUCCUGAACACCACUUGAAACUGAAUAAGAACCAGCAACAAUGAGGAGAAAAACCGGCAAAAAAAAGAAAUCUUCCAGUGCUGACACAACCAAGCUCCUGCCUGCAGAGGGAGGGUAUCAGAGCCAGCUGGGUUGUGAAGCUUUGUGGCUUUCUGGGUUUCUCAUAUAGAUCAGCUUCGAUCCAGCAGGGAACCGGUGCUCAGUUCCCUCUCAGAUAUUCCAGCUACAGUCCCUGAGCUGUUUCUCCCCUGUGGAGCCAAACCCUCUGUGCCCGGGGGAGUGGGGGUGGUUUGUAGCACCCUCACGUUCUGCUGUUCCUGCAUUAAGCCUGGAGACACUGAGUCUUCUCCCCAAAUCCAUCGUGUCUGUGGAGUGCAGCUAAUGGGGCACUGGGAGGAGGUGGAUGCUGAGUAGCUGGAAUGCUGAAAUGCUCCUGUGCAGAGCUGCUCUUUUCCUAAAAAGAGCCCUGAGGUAAAAGCAGCCGGAGGUUUUAUAGGUUGAAGCCAACACUGUGAGUUGCAUCCUGAAAACACUGAUGUUCAGAAGUUUCAGGAGCAAAUCCCCAAAAGUGCUGAGCCCUGUGCUGAGGCAGCAGAGUGGGGAGUGUGUGCUGAGCCUACAGAAAUAAUCCCAUUUGCUUCAAGUGAGAAAGAGCCGGUGGAACAAACGCACCCACAAUCCACUGUACAUCCAGGACAAGAGUUAGUGACUCUGCAAGUCACUGCCUAAUGCACAGUUCCCAUUUUCUUUGUGUGUUAAAAGGCACUGAAUGGCUGUGAUCGGAUAAAUCCGAAGCAGAGUUGGUAGCAGGUCCAGAAAUAACAACAUUUGUGCAGCUUCAUACACAGAAGUGACCGAAUUGAUUUUGGUUGUGUUUGUUCGGGUUUAAAAUUGCUUUGAAACCAUUUGAGGGCAGGUGCACUGACAAACAUCAGGGUAAUUUCCUCUCUGGCUGCCAGGGAUUGAGCCAUUCUCAUCAGUCAGUUGUUUUGUCUUUAGAGGGAGAUUGAAGAACUGAGGAAAGCAGUGAGUAAAGGGCUAUAUUCAGUUUUGGACAACAUAGCAUGUGCCACUGCUCCUAAAUGGUGACUCAGGGACUGGCCAGGGACACAAAGAUCACUCCUUUUCACAAAGCAAACUGGGAAACUUUUAUUCCCAAACACCCCUUUGGUACCCCUGAGUCUGUACCUUUCUGUAAAGUGCUUUUACCUUUCUCCUGUUUAUAUUUUUGCUCUGUGUUCUUAUUCUGUUUGCAGUGUAAAAAUGUGUGUAUUUUUACAUGUGGUUGCUUUAUAUAUUUUAUAUAUUUUAAAGGAAACGUUCCUGCUUUUGAAUAAAAAUCUUUUAAUUUUCUGUAGUAGAUUAAGAAGUUUCUAACACAGAAGUAAUUCUGAGGACUCAAUAUCAACCCAGCAGUUACAAUGGAAAGUUACCUCAUUUUUAAACAUGAUUCUCUGAGUGUCUGAAAGACCCACAAGUGGUGAAAAGAUGUGACUCUGUGGGAAUGUGUUUUAUCUUGAAAUAAAACACAGAAUUAUGCCAAGAUUAACAAAGCUAUUUUUAUAGCUGAGAGCUCAGGUUAAACACUAGCUUGUUUUUUAAGAAUCUGAAGUGUGUAAUUGUUACAACAUAGGAAGUAUUUUUUUUAUCUUUUUAUUUUUUAUGGUGGCUCAGACAUAUUUAUAGAGUAUGACACAGCCAAGUAUGCUUUUUCUUUCUGUUGUUAGUAUAUUGUUUUUGUUCUGGACUUCUUGCCUUGUGCAGAGAGAUGAAUAAUGUUUAUAGGAAGUUCCCAAUUAGUGUUGUAAGCAGGAACUGGGAAAUGAAUUGAAAUGGGAGAGCUGUCACCCACAACAUGGGCAGAACAACUUUUUCACACUCAGGAGCUGGUUCUUCCAGCAAAAGUUAAUAGGAUCAGGUGUGUGUGGGCUCUGUUUGCACUGUAGAGCAGCAGCCAAGCAUCAUGUGACCUUUUUUUUUAGCAUUUAACCUGAUUUUAUCUUUGCCUAUUGGGCAAGACACAUUCUGUUAUCACAGUUUGAACUUAUUUUUUAACUAAAAGAUCAAAUAAGAUAAUAAAGGUGAUACUUUGCUGUGUC